CAGGCUUAACACAUGCAAGUCGAGGGGCAUCAGGAAGAAAGCUUGCUUUCUUUGCUGGCGACCGGCGCACGGGUGAGUAACACGUAUCCAACCUGCCCUUUACUCGGGGAUAGCCUUUCGAAAGAAAGAUUAAUACCCGAUGGCAUAAUGAUUCCGCAUGGUUUCAUUAUUAAAGGAUUCCGGUAAAGGAUGGGGAUGCGUUCCAUUAGGUUGUUGGUGAGGUAACGGCUCACCAAGCCUUCGAUGGAUAGGGGUUCUGAGAGGAAGGUCCCCCACAUUGGAAUUGAGACACGGUCCAAACUCCUACAGGAGGCAGCAGUGAGGAAUAUUGGUCAAUGGGCGCUAGCCUGAACCAGCCAAGUAGCGUGAAGGAUGAAGGCUCUAUGGGUCGUAAACUUCUUUUAUAUAAGAAUAAAGUGCAGUAUGUAUACUGUUUUGUAUGUAUUAUAUGAAUAAGGAUCGGCUAACUCCGUGCCAGCAGCCGCGGUAAUACGGAGGAUCCGAGCGUUAUCCGGAUUUAUUGGGUUUAAAGGGAGCGUAGGUGGACUGGUAAGUCAGUUGUGAAAGUUUGCGGCUCAACCGUAAAAUUGCAGUUGAUACUGUCAGUCUUGAGUACAGUAGAGGUGGGCGGAAUUCGUGGUGUAGCGGUGAAAUGCUUAGAUAUCACGAAGAACUCCGAUUGCGAAGGCAGCUCACUGGACUGCAACUGACACUGAUGCUCGAAAGUGUGGGUAUCAAACAGGAUUAGAUACCCUGGUAGUCCACACAGUAAACGAUGAAUACUCGCUGUUUGCGAUAUACAGUAAGCGGCCAAGCGAAAGCAUUAAGUAUUCCACCUGGGGAGUACGCCGGCAACGGUGAAACUCAAAGGAAUUGACGGGGGCCCGCACAAGCGGAGGAACAUGUGGUUUAAUUCGAUGAUACGCGAGGAACCUUACCCGGGCUUAAAUUGCAGUGGAAUGAUGUGGAAACAUGUCAGUGAGCAAUCACCGCUGUGAAGGUGCUGCAUGGUUGUCGUCAGCUCGUGCCGUGAGGUGUCGGCUUAAGUGCCAUAACGAGCGCAACCCUUAUCUUUAGUUACUAACAGGUCAUGCUGAGGACUCUAGAGAGACUGCCGUCGUAAGAUGUGAGGAAGGUGGGGAUGACGUCAAAUCAGCACGGCCCUUACGUCCGGGGCUACACACGUGUUACAAUGGGGGGUACAGAAGGCAGCUAGCGGGUGACCGUAUGCUAAUCCCAAAAUCCUCUCUCAGUUCGGAUCGAAGUCUGCAACCCGACUUCGUGAAGCUGGAUUCGCUAGUAAUCGCGCAUCAGCCACGGCGCGGUGAAUACGUUCCCGGGCCUUGUACACACCGCCCGUCAAGCCAUGGGAGCCGGGGGUACCUGAAGUACGUAACCGCAAGGAUCGUCCUAGGGUAAAACUGGUGACUGGGGCUAAGUCAUAACA
rnacentral:rRNA from 1 species